rnacentral:misc_RNA from 1 species
GUACAGAUAAGCAGGGUACUCCCUGAAAUGUUGUAUGUGGUUACUUAAGUUGAAAACCAAAAGCUGAACCAUCAUAACAAUCAAAAGGCAGCCACAGGAAGGGGAAAGGAAAAUAAAUGGAAAGGAAAAGCAAAAAAGCCAUAGAAAGUGAGAUAGCAGAUCAAUUCUUAACUCUUUCUCAUAGCAAAACAAGUCCUUUCCAUCCUUAUACUUUCACUUCCAAGUAUUUUUUGCUUACAGUGUUUGCCAAUUCAUAAUCCUAAAUGUUUUCUUUGACCAAUAUAUCUCAUACUAGUCCUUUCUUAUAAAUUUUCUUUUUACUUGUGAAACUAAGAUGUCAAGUUCAUGAAACCUGAGAAACACAUAACAUCUUCAGCUCUUCACUAUGAUAAAUGCCAAAAGGCUUCUUUGCUUUGUACGUCAUCAUGUGUAGCAAAAU